rnacentral:rRNA from 1 species
GAUGAACGCUGACAGAAUGCUUAACACAUGCAAGUCGAUGGGGAAGUGGUGCUUGCACCAUGGCAACCAUGGCGGACGGGUGAGUAACGCGUAAGGGACUUACCUGCAGGACUGGGAUAACAGGGGGAAACUCCUGACAAGACCGGAUAAUGUCAUGGAGCUGCAUGGCUUUAUGAUGAAAGGAUACGCCUGCGGAGAGCCUUGCGUCCUAUUAGCUAGUUGGUGAGGUAAUGACUCACCAAGGCGAAGAUAGGUAGCCGGCCUGAGAGGGUGGACGGCCACAGGGAGGGUGAGAUACGCCCGGUACUCAUACGGGGGGCAGCAGGGGGAAAUAUUAGAAAAUGGGGAAAACCCAGACACAACAAUCCUGUGUGCAAGAAGAAGGUUUGGGUAUUAUAACGUGCUUUCAUGAGAGAAAAAGUAAGUGACGGUACCGGGAAAAGAAGCAACGGCUAAAUACGUG